UAUUUAGCACUAAUUAUUUCGUUAUUGCUUAUUAUAGUUAAAGCUAAUUGUAUCAUAGAUAAUUUAUGAUAAAUUUCAAACCGGUUUUGUUAACUGGUAUCUAUUUACAAAACGCCCUUCGGACUUUUGGACGAAGUACUACAAAAAUGAGCCAUUCUCCGUUCAUAUCGUGAUAUAUAUUUAUGCUAACACUUGAAUAAUGGUUGAAAUGAAAAUGAAAUGAAACUGCGUCGUUCACUACGAGAAGGCCAAUUUUACUGAUAUAAAUUCAUAAAUACAGUUUCCCCCUCAAGGUCUCAAGUCAAAAUUGUCGUACUAUAUUGGAAUUGUUUAUUAUACCAUCUUUCUGAAAUUUUGACUCAUAGGAGGCUGCCCAUCUAUGUCCCACCACCACCACUCGCUGGACUAACCACUUGUUGGGCUGCUUUACAGGGAGACCUGCGUUGAGGGUCAAAAGGUCACAUACGGAAUGAAUGGCCCUCACGCCGUUGGCGCCGUGGGUGGUAACAAAUCGAAAUAAUAAUACCGGCCUCUGAUCGACUGACUGAGCCACCACCGCCAAAAACCUUUCCCAAUCUCUCUGGUCGCUAACUAUAUGCAAAUUAUAUGCUAAAUUCGUGCAAAAUCUUAUAUUAACUUAUAUGCAAAAUUCUUGAAUUUAUUUAUGUUCCUCACUUUUUUAUUUCAUUUCAUUUUCAAAAAACAUGACGUUCAAAAAAAUUGUAGUUAUAUUUUGAUCAUAUAAUAGUUAAUUAUUAAAUAAUCAUUAAUUAAACUAAAGUUAUAUAUAAAUCCCCCUCUUCUCUCAGUCACCAGACAGAUAAUAAACCAUGACGAUACACAACAUGAAUCUUAUCUCCUAAAUAAAUAUCACUGCUGGUGACCAAAAUACGACACCAAA